AGCGGCCGAUGUCAGAUUAGCUAGUUGGUGAGGUAAGGCUUACCAAGGCGACGAUCUGUAGCGGGUCUGAGAGGAUGAUCCGCCACACUGGAACUGAGACACGGUCCAGACUCCUACGGGAGGCAGCAGGUGGGGUAAGUUUUGGACAAUGGGGCAACCCUGAUCCAGCCAUGCCGCGUGAGUGAAGAAGGCCUUCGGGUUGUAAAGCUCUUUCGGCCGGGAAGAAAUCGCAUGGGUGAAUACCCUGUGUGGAUGACGGUACCGGAACAAGAAGCACCGGCUAACUACGUG
rnacentral:rRNA from 1 species